rnacentral:lncRNA from 1 species
UCGUGCAGAGUGGCCCGCCGGGACCGCAGAGACGGGGAGAGCCCCAAGGCCGGUGGCCCGAGGCAGGAUCGGCCUGUCCCCUCCCUCUCCCGCCCUCAGUCCAGCCUCCCGACUCCCGACUCCAAGUGUCGGCAAACUCUGAACACCCAGCGUCCGCGCCCCUGCGCUGCCUGGGUUCCCUGCUCUUUCCCGGGGGCCCUUCCCAGGGUCUCCUCCCCCAACACCUCGGGGGACCUAGUGGAGCCGGGGGGACCGGAUUCCGGAGGGUGGAGCAGCCAGGUGAGCCCUGAAAGGUGGGGCGGGGCGGGGGCGCUCAGGGCCCCACCCCAGGAUCCGGUGACGCCAGGGCUGGAAUUUGACACCGGACGGCAGCAGGCAUGAGGCUGCGGAGGGAUGGAGUUGGGCCCGGCCCCCAGACACGGCCCGCGGGCUCUGCCAGCAGCAGGUCCCUCGGGUCCCAGCCCUCACUGUGUCCCGGACCCAGAGCCCUCCACGCGCGGGCUCAGACGGGCUGCCAAGACCACGCUUUUGGCUAAAAGAGGCGCUGCCAGGUGCAGAGCUCUGGGCGUGAGCCUUUGGAGCCGCGGGGGAAAGCCCAGCUCUGGUCCCAGAAAAGGUGCCUAGAGGAACACGACACAACCGCCGGGGUGAGUGUGGGGCUGGUGGAUGGGGAGGCCAGGCCUGCACUGGAGGACCAGGUGGCCCCAGAUCUUGGGUUGGGAGACCUAGGGCCUGAGCUGCCCUCCAGAGACCUGCUCCUGGGCGCCCCCUAGCGCAGGGGCCCUUGCGCCGGCCUCGCCAAGCUUUCCCUCCGUCAGUGAGAACAGUCACUAACCUGGCUCCUCAGGCCCAUGUUCCGUUAGCCAAGCACCCUUGGCCCUGGAGGACCAUGCCAGGGUGGUCUGGCCCACGGGUAUGCAGACAUUCCGUGUGCUGGGGGGUGGGGGGUGGAGUGCCCACUAGGACCCAAGAGCAGGCCCGCUGGUGAGGGUUCAUGAGGGCUCCAGAGAGGUGACUGGGGGUGCUAGAUGGUGCACGCUCACAAAAGCUGCUGGGGCUCAGGAAGGCUGGCUGGGCUCAGGAAGGAUGGUUCAUGGGGCAAACUUCUAGGAGCAGGGCCAGGCUGUCAGGACCAGGGGAAGCUAGAAGGGAAACAAAUCC